GUAUUGACAUACGCGUUUUUCUUGCCUUCUCCAAAAAGGGGAGCAAAAAAAGACACGCAAAUUCUUCUCUAAAAUUAAAGAAUAGGAAUAGCGGCUUUUAUCGACGCUUCGCGGUACAGAAUUGAAAUACUGAAAUAGAGCAGACUGGUAAAACUGGAAUGGCAAGCAGCGGGGGCGGUGGCAACAGCCAGGCGCCGUCGCAGUACCGCCCCUACAGACACCACCGAACCCUAACCGGCCACCAGCGAGCGGUGUCGUGCGUCAAGUUCUCCAACGACGGUACUCUUCUAGCCUCUGCCUCCCUCGACAAAACCCUAAUCAUCUGGUCCUCACAAACCCUAGCUCUCCUCUCCCGCCUCGUUGGCCACUCCGAGGGCGUCUCCGACCUCGCCUGGUCCUCCGACUCCCAUUACAUCUGCUCCGCCUCCGAUGAUCGUACCCUCCGCAUCUGGGACGCACGCGCCGCCGACUGCGUCAAGACCCUCCGCGGCCACACCUCCUUCGUCUUCUGCGUCAACUUCAACCCCCAGUCCAACCUCAUCGUCUCCGGCUCCUUCGACGAGACCGUCCGCGUCUGGGACGUCAAGACUGGCCGCUGUGUUCACGUUAUUUCCGCCCAUUCGAUGCCCGUCACCUGCGUUCACUUCAACCGCGACGGCUCCCUCAUUGUCUCCGGCAGCCACGACGGUUCCUGCAAGAUUUGGGACGCCGCCACCGGCGCCUGCUUGAAGACCCUUAUAGAUGAUAAGGAGCCCGCCGUCUCCUUUGCCAAGUUCUCACCCAAUGGCAAGUUCAUUCUCGUUGCAACUCUGGACGACACUCUCAAGCUUUGGAAUUACUCGGCUGGGAAGUUCUUGAAAAUAUACACAGGGCAUAAGAACAGAGUAUACUGCAUAACAUCUACAUUUUCGGUGACAAAUGGGAAAUACAUUGUUAGUGGGUCAGAGGAUAGCUGUGUGUACCUUUGGGAUCUACAGGGGAAGGCUAUGGUUCAGAAACUUGAGGGUCAUUCUGAUACUGUCAUCUCAGUAACAUGCCACCCUGCUGAGAAUAAAAUUGCUUCUGCAGGCCUUGAUAGAGACAGAAGUGUGAGAAUCUGGGUUCAAGAUAAAUGAAUUUUUAUGCAUUGAGGCCUGGGGCUACCCCACCCCUUCUAUUGCCACUCAUAGUAACGAACCACUGGUGCACUGUUUGGCCUACAUUCUAGAUGCACAAUCCAUCUAAGACACCCUUCCAUUAUUUGAUCUUUAACAGGGCGAAGGCGGUGGUAUCUUGGCAAGAUGGAAGGAGAAAUGGAAUGAGGUUGCGAAAUAUGGUUUUGCAUGAAGAGGUUGCUGUACAGCUGUUGAAACCAAAAUUUGUGCCAUUCCCCCCCUCUUCGGCUUCAGAAAGGCCCUCCCAUGGGUUUUAUUUUUGGGGGGGCCAGGUGGGGAUGAAGUAAACUAUCUAUAGGUAGCCGAUACCUUGUUCUCGUGUUCAUUUGGUUAUUAGAAUAUUUUGUUGGGGUUGAAUGUACAAUUUGUUGUAAAAGCUAAAAAAUUUCAUCAGUCAAUUUUAAAAUAUUUGCUUAAAA